UGAACGCUGGCGGCAGGCCUAACACAUGCAAGUCGAACGGUAGCACAGAGAGCUUGCUCUCGGGUGACGAGUGGCGGACGGGUGAGUAAUGUCUGGGAAACUGCCUGAUGGAGGGGGAUAACUACUGGAAACGGUAGCUAAUACCGCAUAACGUCGCAAGACCAAAGAGGGGGACCUUCGGGCCUCUUGCCAUCAGAUGUGCCCAGAUGGGAUUAGCUAGUAGGUGGGGUAACGGCUCACCUAGGCGACGAUCCCUAGCUGGUCUGAGAGGAUGACCAGCCACACUGGAACUGAGACACGGUCCAGACUCCUACGGGAGGCAGCAGUGGGGAAUAUUGCACAAUGGGCGCAAGCCUGAUGCAGCCAUGCCGCGUGUAUGAAGAAGGCCUUCGGGUUGUAAAGUACUUUCAGCGGGGAGGAAGGUGUUGUGGUUAAUAACCACAGCAAUUGACGUUACCCGCAGAAGAAGCACCGGCUAACUCCGUGCCAGCAGCCGCGGUAAUACCGAGGGUGCAAGCGUUAAUCGGAAUUACUGGGCGUAAAGCGCACGCAGGCGGUCUGACGGGUCGGAUGGGAAAUUCCCCGGGGCUCAACCUGGGAUCUGCAUGUCAAGACUGGCAAGGCUACAGAUCUUGUAGAGGGGGGUAGAAUUGCAGGUGUAGCGGUGAAAUGCGUAGAGAUCUGGAGGAAUACCGGUGGCGAAGGCGGCCCCCUGGACAAAGACUGACGCUCAGGUGCGAAAGCGUGGGGAGCAAACAGGAUUAGAUACCCUGGUAGUCCACGCCGUAAACGAUGUCGACUUGGAGGUUGUGCCCUUGAGGCGUGGCUUCCGGAGCUAACGCGUUAAGUCGACCGCCUGGGGAGUACGGCCGCAAGGUUAAAACUCAAAUGAAUUGACGGGGGCCCGCACAAGCGGUGGAGCAUGUGGUUUAAUUCGAUGCAACGCGAAGAACCUUACCUACUCUUGACAUCCAGAGAACUUAGCAGAGAUGCUUUGGUGCCUUCGGGAACUCUGAGACAGGUGCUGCAUGGCUGUCGUCAGCUCGUGUUGUGAAAUGUUGGGUUAAGUCCCGCAACGAGCGCAACCCUUAUCCUUUGUUGCCAGCGGUCCGGCCGGGAACUCAAAGGAGACUGCCAGUGAUAAACUGGAGGAAGGUGGGGAUGACGUCAAGUCAUCAUGGCCCUUACGAGUAGGGCUACACACGUGCUACAAUGGCGCAUACAAAGAGAAGCGAACUCGCGAGAGCAAGCGGACCUCAUAAAGUGCGUCGUAGUCCGGAUUGGAGUCUGCAACUCGACUCCAUGAAGUCGGAAUCGCUAGUAAUCGUAGAUCAGAAUGCUACGGUGAAUACGUUCCCGGGCCUUGUACACACCGCCCGUCACACCAUGGGAGUGGGUUGCAAAAGAAGUAGGUAGCUUAACCUUCGGGAGGGCGCUUACCACUUUGUGAUUCAUGACU
rnacentral:rRNA from 1 species